GCAGUCGAACGAUGAACUCCAGCUUGCUGGGGGGAUUAGUGGCGAACGGGUGAGUAACACGUGAGUAACCUGCCCUUGACUCUGGGAUAAGCGCUGGAAACGGCGUCUAAUACCGGAUACGAGCUUCAGCCGCAUGGCUAGGAGUUGGAAAGAAUUUUGGUCAAGGAUGGACUCGCGGCCUAUCAGUUAGUUGGUGAGGUAAUGGCUCACCAAGACGACGACGGGUAGCCGGCCUGAGAGGGUGACCGGCCACACUGGGACUGAGACACGGCCCAGACUCCUACGGGAGGCAGCAGUGGGGAAUAUUGCACAAUGGGCGAAAGCCUGAUGCAGCAACGCCGCGUGAGGGACGACGGCCUUCGGGUUGUAAACCUCUUUUAGUAGGGAAGAAGCGAAAGUGACGGUACCUGCAGAAAAAGCACCGGCUAACUACGUGCCAGCAGCCGCGGUAAUACGUAGGGUGCAAGCGUUGUCCGGAAUUAUUGGGCGUAAAGAGCUCGUAGGCGGUUUGUCGCGUCUGCUGUGAAAUCUGGGGGCUCAACCCCCAGCCUGCAGUGUGUACGGGCAGACUAGAGUGCGGUAGGGGAGAUUGUAAUUCCUGGUGU
rnacentral:rRNA from 1 species